UGGGGAAUAUUGGACAAUGGGCGCAAGCCUGAUCCAGCCAUGCCGCGUGAGUGACGAAGGCCUUAGGGUUGUAAAGCUCUUUUGGCGGGGAAGAUAAUGACGGUACCCGCAGAAUAAGCUCCGGCUAACUUCGUGCCAGCAGCCGCGGUAAUACGAAGGGAGCUAGCGUUGUUCGGAAUCACUGGGCGUAAAGCGCACGUAGGCGGAUGUGUCAGUCAGGGGUGAAAUCCCGGAGCUCAACUUCGGAACUGCCCUUGAUACAGCACGUCUUGAGUCCGAUAGAGGUGGGUGGAAUUCCUAGUGUAGAGGUGAAAUUCGUAGAUAUUAGGAAGAACACCGGUGGCGAAGGCGGCCCACUGGAUCGGUACUGACGCUGAGGUGCGAAAGCGUGGGGAGCAAACAGGAUUAGAUACCCCAGUAGUCCCUGAGCGGGCUGGCAAGGCGCAU
rnacentral:rRNA from 1 species